rnacentral:rRNA from 1 species
CAGGAUGGACCCGCGUCUGAUUAGCUAGUUGGUAAGGUAACGGCUUACCAAGGCGACGAUCAGUAGCCGACCUGAGAGGGUGAUCGGCCACAUUGGAACUGAGACACGGUCCAAACUCCUACGGGAGGCAGCAGUGGGGAAUAUUGCACAAUGGGCGAAAGCCUGAUGCAGCAACGCCGCGUGAGUGAUGAAGGCCUUCGGGUCGUAAAACUCUGUCCUCAAGGAAGAUAAUGACGGUACUUGAGGAGGAAGCCCCGGCUAACUACGUGCCAGCAGCCGCGGUAAUACGUAGGGGGCUAGCGUUAUCCGGAUUUACUGGGCGUAAAGGGUGCGUAGGCGGUCUUUCAAGUCAGGAGUGAAAGGCUACGGCUCAACCGUAGUAAGCUCUUGAAACUGGGAGACUUGAGUGCAGGAGAGGAGAGUGGAAUUCCUAGUGUAGCGGUGAAAUGCGUAGAUAUUAGGAGGAACACCAGUUGCGAAGGCGGCUCUCUGGACUGUAACUGACGCUGAGGCACGAAAGCGUGGGGAGCAAACAGGAUUAGAUACCCUGGUAGUCCACGCUGUAAACGAUGAGUACUAGGUGUCGGGGGUUACCCCCCUCGGUGCCGC